UGGGGAAUCUUCCGCAAUGGACGAAAGUCUGACGGAGCAACGCCGCGUGUAUGAAGAAGGCCUUCGGGUUGUAAAGUACUGUUGUUGGGGAAGAACGGCAUCUGUGUAAAUAAUGCAGGUGAUUGACGGUACCCAACGAGGAAGCCCCGGCUAACUACGUGCCAGCAGCCGCGGUAAUACGUAGGGGGCAAGCGUUGUCCGGAAUCAUUGGGCGUAAAGGGCGUGUAGGCGGACUUAUAAGUCUGAUGUGAAAGUGCGGGGCUUAACUCCGUAAAGCAUUGGAAACUGUGAGUCUUGAGGACAGGAGAGGAAAGUGGAAUUCCACGUGUAGCGGUGAAAUGCGUAGAGAUGUGGAGGAACACCAGUGGCGAAGGCGACUUUCUGGACUGUAACUGACGCUGAGGCGCGAAAGCGUGGGGAGCGAACAGG
rnacentral:rRNA from 2 species